GAGCCGUAUGCGGUGAGAGUCGCACGUACGGUAAGGAGGGGGUUCGCGUCUAUACGUGCAGUUUGAUGGUUGGGCCUACUAUUAAGGAACGGAGGGAGUAUAAUACAGUACUGCGUAAUGCAUAUAUAAUACAGUACAGUACUACAGUAUAGUUUGUUCCAUUUCUUUGUAGGCUGCCCUAU
rnacentral:ncRNA from 1 species